CUCUAAUGAUUUGCAAUAAGUGGUGUAAUUUUGAGUGUAAAUACAAAAUACAUUUUAAAAUCACAUACUUGGAAAAGUGUCCAUAUUUCAUAUUUACUAUACUGUGUUAAUUUAUAGUUGUGUUUUCAUUCUAGGAAUGAAAGUACAUACAAAGCCUCAGGCUGAAAAGUUCUGAUUAUUAGCAAUGAUAGUAAGGAUUGUUCAUAAUAUACAGUAUUGAACAGAGAAAAAGAUCUUAGAUUUUUAUUGGCUCUGCUGUUUUGCAAUACAAAUGCAAACUCCCUAAAGAAAUGAGAUGUGUCAAGUAGUGCUUGAAACACGGCCUCUUACAAACAUAGGGAAUGAUUAUUUCUGCAAGUUUCAGUUUGCAGCAGCACCAUAUGCAGUGGCAGCUGAGCACUGGGAGCUUGGAGACCAGGGAUCUUUUGGAACCCAAUAAAGAAAUUGUGACUUGCAUGCAAAGUGCUAAAGAAUCACUUUUCCGUAGUUCUAAAUUAUGCUGAGACUUCAAGGGGAUAAAAAAGAACAAAGAAACAUAUUGCAUUUCCAACCUGAUGAUCUUUAACAGAGAGCUAAGCAAAUUAAGAUGAAAUUAAUUAUAUGUAAAAUAUCCCCCCACCCCAAAUUUUUCAAAUAAUAUUGAAAAAUCCUUUUCUGCAGCAGGCAGUGUAGUGUCAGCUACAUGUCUUUGCUCAUUAAAAAUAAUAUCAUUUUUAUUGUGUCUUCUCAACAUUAUCAAAAGAUUCAAAACCAUGGUGAAAGAUCAAGGAGAAAAUUUAUUCCUCAGGUGUUGACUCUGUUCC
rnacentral:lncRNA from 1 species